UACGAAGGGGGCUAGCGUUGUUCGGAAUUACUGGGCGUAAAGCGCGCGCAGGUGGUCUUUCAAGUCAGUGGUGAAAGCCCGGAGCUCAACUCCGGAAAUGCCAUUGAAACUGUAAGACUUGAGGAUGAGAGAGGUGAGUGGAAUUCCCAGUGUAGAGGUGAAAUUCGUAGAUAUUGGGAAGAACACCGAUGGCGAAGGCAGCCUCCUGGGCCAAUCCUGACGCUCAGGCACGAAAGCGUGGGGAGCAAACAGG
rnacentral:rRNA from 1 species